UACAGAGGUCUCAAGCGUUGUUCGGAUUCAUUGGGCGUAAAGGGUGCGUAGGCGGCGCGGUAAGUCGGGUGUGAAAUCUUGGAGCUUAACUCCGAAACUGCAUUCGAUACUGCCGUGCUUGAGGACUGGAGAGGAGACUGGAAUUUACGGUGUAGCGGUGAAAUGCGUAGAUAUCGUAAGGAAGACCAACGGCGAAAGCACUCUGCUGGGCCGACACUGACACUGAGAGACGAAAGCUAGGGGAGCGAAUGGG
rnacentral:rRNA from 1 species